rnacentral:rRNA from 1 species
AUCAAUAAGCGGAGGAAAAGAAACUAACAAGGAUUCCCCUAGUAACGGCGAGUGAAGCGGGAAAAGCUCAAAUUUGAAAUCUGGUAGCCUCAGGCUGCCCGAGUUGUAAUCUAUAGAAACGUUUUCCGCGUUGGCCCAUGUACAAGUCUCCUGGAAUGGAGCGUCAUAGAGGGUGAGAAUCCCGUCCUUGACAUGGACUACCAAUGCUUUGUGAUACGUUUUCAAAGAGUCGAGUUGUUUGGGAAUGCAGCUCAAAAUGGGUGGUAAAUUCCAUCUAAAGCUAAAUAUUGGCGAGAGACCGAUAGCGAACAAGUACCGUGAGGGAAAGAUGAAAAGCACUUUGGAAAGAGAGUUAAACAGUAUGUGAAAUUGUUGAAAGGGAAACGAUUGAAGUCAGUCAUGUCUAUUGGACUCAGCCGGUUCUGCCGGUGUACUUCCUUUAGAUGGGGUCAACAUCAGUUUUGAUCGCUGGAAAAGGGCAGGAGGAAUGUAGCACUCUCGGGUGAACUUAUAGCCUUCUGUCGUAUACAGUGGUUGGGACUGAGGAACGCAGCAUGCCUUUAUGCCGGGGUUCGCCCACGUACAUGC